CACUUUGUGGAUGUCGGGGUGCGUGU
rnacentral:sRNA from 1 species